rnacentral:rRNA from 1 species
UGUGGGAAAAUUUCAUUAAGGGUAUAUGGUGGAUGCCUCGACAUAAAGAGACGAUGAAGGACGUAGCAGCCUGCGAUAAGCCUCGGUUAGGUGGCAAGCAACCUUUGAUCCGUGGAUUUCCGAAUGGGGAAACCUAUCCCGUUGCAGACGGGAUGUCCCUCCUUCGCUUUUUGCUUCGCAAAAAGCUUCGGCGGGCAAGCCCUCUAAAAUAUUAGAAGGCACAUAAUUGUCCAACGAAAAAAAUUUUGAGAGAUAAAAAGCGGAGGAGGAGACGAUUACCCGGCGAACUGAAACAUCUUAGUAGCCGGAGGAAAAGAAAACAAACCGCGCUCAGCGCGGACAUUCCCUGAGUAGUGGCGAGCGAAAAGGGAAAAGCCCAAACCUUAUAAACUAUGCUCGACUAAAUUUUUUUAAAUUUGGGCGAGCUGAAGGUUCUAGGACCAUAUGUUUAUAAGGUGUCGCAAGAUAGUUGCGUUUGCUUCCUAGAAAAAGCAAGGUAGAAAAAUCUAUAACUUCCUUAGUUGAAGCGAGCUGGAAAGCUCCGCCAGAGAAGGUGAAAGCCCUGUAAGGCAAAAAGGGUUAUUAAUCUACGGCAGCAUAUCUUAAGUACUGCGGGACUCGAGAAAUCCCGUACGAAUUGGGGUCGACUAUGACCCAAGGCUAAAUACUCUUUAUGAUCAAUAGUGAACAAGUACCGUGAGGGAAAGGUGAAAAGCAUCCCGGUGAGGGAGGUGAAAUAGUACCUGAAACCAUAUACUUACAAGGAAUCAGAGCCGUGCAUAGCACGGAAUUUCUAAUUUCUAAUUUCUAAUUUCUAAAAAAUUUUCAAUGACUCAAUUUCUAAACAUAAUAAAGUUUAAAAAUUGAAAAAUUAAGAUUUGUUUUAAAAUUAAAAAUUGAAAAUUGGGAUUUCCGCGCUGUGCGCGGUAAUGGUGUGCCUAUUGAAGAAUGAGCCAACGAGUUUAUGUUUGUGGCUUGACUAACCCCGCCCUAGUUUGCUGAUUAAUAAAAUAAUCAAGCAGAAAAAAUGGGCAAACUGGAGCGGGGGCAGUCGCAGUGAAAGCGAGGGUUAAUAGCCCGUUCCUUCACUAAAGUUUCGGAACGUAAAUUAAUUUUUUUAGUAGACGUUUGUGAUAGACCGCAAGGUUUACCACCCGAAGCUUUAGCGUAGGGUGGUCGCAAAUAUAAGACCCGAAGCCGGGUGAUCUAGCCAUAGCCAGGUUGAAUGGAGCAGAAAUGCUUCAGGAGGACCGAACCCACUAGCCGUGCAACACUAGGGGAUGAGCUGUGGUUAGGGGAGAAAUUCCAAUCGAACUCGGCAAUAGCUGGUUCUCCUCGAAAUAGCUUUAGGGCUAGCUUCAGAUGCUGACUGUGGGGGGUAGAGCACUGGAUGAGAAUGGGCCGCAAGGUACUUAUCUCAACCAAACUCCGAAUACCCGCGGGUGUAAUCUGAAAGUCAGACUAUGGGCGCUAAGGUUCAUCAGUCAAAAGGGAAACAGCCCAGAUCACAAUCUAAGGUCCCAAAAUAUAUGCUAAGUGUGAAAGGUGGUGUCGCGACCGCGACAACUAGGAGGUUGGCUUAGAAGCAGCCAUCCUUUAAAGAAAGCGUAAUAGCUCACUAGUCAAGUUGUUUCGCGCCGAAAAUGUAUCGGGGCUAAAGCAUAUUACCGAAGAUGUGAGUCGUGCAUAGCACUGAAUUUCCAAUUUCUAAUUUCUAAUUUCUAAAAAAUUUUCAAUGAUUCAAUUUCUAAACAUAAUAAAGUUUAAAAAUUGAAAAAUUAAGAUUUGUUUUAAAAUUAAAAAUUGAAAAUUGGGGUUUCCGCGCUGUGCGCGGCGGUAGAGGAGCAUUCUGUCCAGCAUUGAAGCUGCUUUGCGAGAAGUAGUGGAGCGGACAGAAGAGAGAAUGUUGGCAUGAGUAGCAAAAAGGCAGGUUAAAACCCUGCCCACCGUAAAUCUAAGGUUUCCUGGGCAACGCAAAUCGACCCAGGGUUAGUCGGUCCUAAGAUGAGUCCCGUGUAGUGCGGGGGUAGUCGAUGGAUGAGCUGGUUAAUAUUCCAGCGCUACUGUAGUUUUUCCUCCUACGCUCUUUGCUUCACAAAGAGCUUCGGAGGACGAGUUCUGAAAUACUAAUGUAUUUUCUGAUCUCGCCCUCCGUAGCUCCGAAUGGAGUGAGGUGCGUAGGAGGGUUCCAAUGGGGAGACGCAAUUUUAAAGUUUGAGCGUGUUCAUGGUAUACGCGUUAAUUACUCCAAGGGAUGAUCCAGGCAAAUCCGGAUCGCUAAUUUCAAGGAGUUGUUAAAAGAUGAAGCUUUUGUGGAAUCGAUUCAAAUGGAAAGAUUGCUUAAAAAAACCUCUAGGGUUAAGACUAUAGUAUCCGUACCGUAAACCGACACAGGUAGAUGAGGCGAGUAGCCUCAGGUGUACAAGAGAACUUUCGUUAAGGAACUCGGCAAACAAGCGGCCGUAAUUUAGAGAUAAGGCCUGCCCGUAGCAAUACGGGCCGCAGCUAAAGAGUCCAAGUGACUGUUUAUCAAAAACAUAGCUCCCUGCUAACUCGUAAGAGGAUGUAUAGGGGGUGAUGCCUGGCCAGUGUCUGUACGUUAAGGGGAGGGGUUAAUCCCGUUCGCGGGGUGAAGCUUCAAACUAAAGCGCAGAUGAACGCCGGCCGUAACUAUAACGGUCCUAAGGUAGCGAAAUUCCUUGUCGGGUAAGUUCCGACCUGCACGAAUGGUACAACAACUUGGACGCUGUCUCAACGAAGGACUUGGCGAAAUUGCAAGACGAGUAAAGAUGCUCGUUAAUCAUAGUUGGACGAAAAGACCCCGUGAAGCUUUACUAUAGCUUGAUAUUGAAUUAGAGGCAUGCAUGUUCAGCAUAGGUGGGACCCCGGUUUACCGGGGGCCAGUGAGAUACCACCCUUGCGUAUUUUUAAUUCUAACCCUAGACCGUUAUCCGGUCAGGGGACAGUAUCUGGUGGGUAGUUUGUCUGGGGCGGAUGCCUCCCAAAAAGUAACGGAGGCGUUUACCAAGGUUGGCUAUCCCGGAAUGGAAACCCGGGAGAUAGUGCAAAGGCAUAAGCCAGCUUUACUGCGAGACCUACAAGUCGAGCAGUUGCGAAAGCAGAACUUAGUGAUCCGACCGUUCAAUAUAGGACGGCGGAAGCUCAUCGGAUAAAAGCUACUCCGGGGAUAACAGGCUAGUCAGGUCCAAGAGUUCACAUCGACGACCUGGUUCGGCACCUUAAUUUAUAUCGGGGUGCCAUCUCGAGCAAUCGAGUAAAUAAAUUUGGCUUAUAACGGUGGACUCCAUAAUUUAAUUGGCCUUAUAAUAAGAUUAUGGACAAUACCGUGGGAAGUCUAUAUAUUUUAGAUUUCAGAUUAACGAUUCUAAAAUAUUAAUGACCCCCUAGAGACUAAUCCCGAAAGGGAGAAAUAGAAGGUACCUGAUAAUCAGGGAAUUAAACUUCUAUUAUACGCCAACUCCGUUUAUUAAUAAAAACGGAUGAAGAUAUAGUCCAAUCCCAUUAGUAAUAAUGGAAAGUAAACUGUAAUUAUACAGUUGAAUCGACAGCGAUGUCGGCUCAUCGCAUCCUGGGGGUGGAGAAGCUCCCAAGGGUUGGGCUGUUCGCCCAUUAAAGCGGUACGUGAGCUGGGUUCAGACCGUCGUAAGACAGGUCGGUCUCCUAUCCACUAUGAUCGCGGAAACUUGAGAAGGCCCUUCCCUAGUACGAGAGGACCGGGAAGGACGAAGCUCUAGUGUACCAGCUGUCCCACCAGGGGCAUCGCUGGGUAGCUACCUUCGGUUAGGAUAAACGCUGAAAGCAUCUAAGCGUGAAGCCGUCUUCAAGAUUAGGUUUCAUAGGUUCGUGAGAGACUAUCACGUUGAUAGGCUCUAGGUGUAAGGCGCGUAAGCGCUUUAGCCGAGGAGUACUAAUAAACCGUUUA